rnacentral:rRNA from 1 species
UAGGGAAUCUUCCGCAAUGGGCGAAAGCUUGACGGAGCAACGCCGCGUGAGUGAUGAAGGUCUUCGGAUCGUAAAACUCUGUUAUUAGGGAAGAACAAAUGUGUAAGUAACUAUGCACGUCUUGACGGUACCUAAUCAGAAAGCCACGGCUAACUACGUGCCAGCAGCCGCGGUAAUACGUAGGUGGCAAGCGUUAUCCGGAAUUAUUGGGCGUAAAGCGCGCGUAGGCGGUUUUUUAAGUCUGAUGUGAAAGCCCACGGCUCAACCGUGGAGGGUCAUUGGAAACUGGAAAACUUGAGUGCAGAAGAGGAAAGUGGAAUUCCAUGUGUAGCGGUGAAGUGCGCAGAGAUAUGGAGGAACACCAGUGGCGAAGGCGACUUUCUGGUCUGUAACUGACGCUGAUGUGCGAAAGCGUGGGGAUCAAACAGG